AUUGAACGCUGGCGGCAGGCCUAACACAUGCAAGUCGAACGAGUGGCGGACGGGUGAGUAAUGCUUGGGAAUCUGGCUUAUGGAGGGGGAUAACUACGGGAAACUGUAGCUAAUACCGCGUACCAUCGGAUGUGCCCAAGUGGGAUUAGGUAGUUGGUGGGGUAACGGCUCACCAAGCCGACGAUCCCUAGCUGGUCUGAGAGGAUGACCAGCCACACUGGAACUGAGACACGGCCCAGACUCCUACGGGAGGCAGCAGUGGGGAAUAUUGCGCAAUGGGGGCAAGCCUGACGCAGCCAUGCCGCGUGUAUGAAGAAGGCCUUCGGGUUGUAAAGUACUUUCAGCGGGGAGGCGUUACCCGCAGAAGAAGCACCGGCUAACUCCGUGCCAGCCGCCGCGGUAAUUC
rnacentral:rRNA from 1 species